GACGAACCGUGCGAACGUUGUUCGGAAUCACUGGGCUUAAAGGGCGCGUAGGCGGUUGAUCAAGUCUGGGGUGAAAUCUUUCGGCUUAACCGGAAAAGUGCCUUGGAUACUGGUCAGCUGGAGGGAGGUAGGGGCAGUUGGAACUUCCAGUGGAGCGGUGAAAUGCGUUGAUAUUGGAAGGAACGCCGGUGGCGAAAGCGAGCUGCUGGACCUCUUCUGACGCUGAUGCGCGAAAGCUAGGGGAGCGAACAGG
rnacentral:rRNA from 1 species